GAAAUGCGAUAAGUAGUGUGAAUUGCAGAAUUCAGUGAAUCAUCGAAUCUUUGAACGCACAUUGCGCCCUUUGGUAUUCCUUAGGGCAUGCCUGUUCGAGCGUCAUCUAAUCCUUCAAGCCCUGCUUGGUGUUGGGUGCCUGUCCCGCCUCCGCGCGCGGACUCACCUCAAAUCCAUUGGCGGCCCCCGCGUCGGCCACGAGCGCAGCAGAAACGCGAACUCGUGAGCCCGUCCGGGCGGCUCCCAGAAGCUACACCCACCCAGUUUGACCUCGGAUCAGGUAGGGAUACCCGCUGAACUUAAGC
rnacentral:misc_RNA from 1 species